CGGCUGCAAGUCCAGCAUGCAGACAAAAAUUUGUCCUUUUGCAUAAUACCUCAUAGCAAAAAUAAGCUAUGAGCAACUAAAUUAGAUAUUGAACUGUUUUGAAAUGUUUCUUUUCACCGGUAACUAUGAUUAACUUGAGAUUGGGGCUGAUAUGUAGUUUUAUUCUGAAAGCCCCGGCAUUUUUGGCUGGUCUAGUUUUGGUCUAACACCAGGAACUGAUGGAUAUUAUAAGCAAGAAGCUGAAGGUGCUGCUUGAUGCCUGAGAGAUCAUGAAGGUCGACAUCCUGUUCAACCGCCGGAUGCAUAAUGAGACAAAGGCCAUGGUGAGAGGUGUCUGCAAACCAAUAAGGUUGGCACGUUCACAAUGUUCAUUGGAGAUCUGGACAAAGUUGUCAACCUGCUGUUGACCCUUUUUGACUGGAGUUGUGAUUUACCUUGACAUCCUGGAGGACGGCACCUCUCCUGACAAGCAGUGGAACCUUACUCAAUCACCAAAGUCCCUAACAAGAUGCAAGAAAAUACUGAAGAGCAGAAUGGAAUAUGGAAGUGUUUGACAUGUUUUCAAACUACCUGAGAGAUGACAAGCUCCUUGAGAAAAUUAAAUGACCCUAAUCACGGAAAAGAUGGACUUGGAGGACAAAGUUAGGCUGAAAAGCUGUCGGGUCCCUUGGAGCAUCAGCCAGUUAACUACAAACAGAAGCAGAAACUGAAGGAUUUUAAAUAACAAAACAUUGACAUGGUCAUCGUUCCAUGUUUGGCAUUCUAAAUCCUCAGAGGACCGUACUGCUCUUCAAGGGAAUUGGACAAUUUCUUUUAACCGU